GACGAACGCUGGCGGCGUGCUUAACACAUGCAAGUCGAACGCUGAAGACCUGGCUUUUGUUGGGUUGGAUGAGUGGCGAACGGGUGAGUAACACGUGAGUAACCUGCCCUCUUCUUUGGGAUGACGCCCGGAAACGGGUGCUAAUACUGGAUAUUCACUGGCCUUCGCAUGGGGGUUGGUGGAAAGGUUUGUUCUGGUGGGGGAUGGGCUCGCGGCCUAUCAGCUUGUUGGUGGGGUGAUGGCCUACCAAGGCUUUGACGGGUAGCCGGCCUGAGAGGGUGACCGGUCACAUUGGGACUGAGAUACGGCCCAGACUCCUACGGGAGGCAGCAGUGGGGAAUAUUGCACAAUGGGCGAAAGCCUGAUGCAGCGACGCCGCGUGAGGGAUGGAGGCCUUCGGGUUGUAAACCUCUUUCGCUCAUGGUCAAGCCGCAACUGUGGGUUGUGGUGAGGGUAGUGGGUAAAGAAGCGCCGGCUAACUACGUG
rnacentral:rRNA from 1 species